rnacentral:rRNA from 1 species
CCUACGGGAGGCAGCAGUGGGGAAUAUUGGACAAUGGGCGCAAGCCUGAUCCAGCAAUGCCGCGUGAGUGAUGAAGGCCUUAGGGUUGUAAAGCUCUUUCGCCCGCGACGAUGAUGACGGUACCGGGAGAAGAAGCCCCGGCUAACUUCGUGCCAGCAGCCGCGGUAAU